UUAAAGAAAUUCACAAAUUAAUUCCUACAAUUAUUACUACUUCCAUAAAUUGCUUAGAAGCUUUAAUUAUUAGCAUUCAAUAUUCAAAAUUCAGUCUGAAUUGUGAUUAAAUAUAGUCCUAUUUCUGCUUCUCUGCUGGAUGAAAAUAACUCUUGGAAGCCAGUAUUUGAGAAUAUUAAGAAUACACAUGCAUAAGAGUUAAAAAUUGUCAAAUUGUCUAAUGCAUAUCUAAAAUUCAGAGUUGCUUCUUGUUUAACAAUUUGUUUCUGCCAGGGAAUAGUGAUGAAAUAGGAGAGAAGCGAAAUGAAUUGGAUAAGAAUAAGGGAUGAAGGUAGGGCAUUUUAAGACAGAAAACUACAUAUAUGGGGCAUAUGUGUGCAAGUGUGUUUGUCUGUUGUAUGUAUUUGUAUACCGAUACAUUCAUACAUAUGAAUACAUCCUGUUGACAUAAAUUUGAUCAGGUAUUAGCUCUGUCAGCUUUAACCUAGUUUUUGCUGCUCUUAUGUAAGUGCUUGGCAGCUAUGUGUCUUCUAAUGAUUUCAUCAUUUUCAUUACAUUUAAUAGAGAUAUGUCCCAGCUUAGUGGCAUGAGGCAAGGUGAUGAAACUUCACUUUAUACAGAACACAUACAGAAAGUGGCUAAAUAUUGGAUUUUCCAAGGACUACAGUGGCACUGAUACAGUACCAAGAGGUAUCAUGAAUUCUUUUUAUGAUGGACACAAACACAUAUUUUUAAGAUGCUGGAGCUACACAGAAGGAGUUGUGAUGAUUUAAAAUAGGUUAGUCCUGCUUCUGAAAAUCUCGAGUAACAAAUGGACUUCACAAUAUCAAGUUUAAAAUCUCUGUCUCCCUAUUAGAAUGAAGUAAGAAAAAUCAGAUACUGAAAACAGAAAUUGUACCAUUGAAACAGAAAUAUUCUGGAAGGAAAAAUAGUUCUGAAAAUAUUUAAUCUUUAAAAAAAAUGCUGUUUUCUCAACCUAUAAUAAAACAGGGUUCUUGUCUAACCUAUGCUUAAAA
rnacentral:lncRNA from 1 species